ACUAAAGCUAGCCCAAAUAACAAACAACUAAACUACAAAGCAAGCAUCAAACAAAACAUUUAGUCAUACAUUAAAGUAUAGGAGAUAGAAAUUUUAACUGGAGCUAUAGAGACAGUACCGCAAGGGAAAGAUGAAAGAGAGUUCAAAGUAAAAAAUAGCAAAGAUUACCCCUUCUACCUUUUGCAUAAUGAGUUAGCUAGAACAACUUAACAAAGAGAACUUAAGCUAAGUCCCCCGAAACCAGACGAGCUACCUACGAACAAUCCCCUGGGAUGAACUCAUCUAUGUGGCAAAAUAGUGAGAAGAUUUGCAGGUAGAGGUGAAAAGCCUAACGAGCCUGGUGAUAGCUGGUUACCCAGAAUAGAAUUUCAGUUCAACUUUAAACUUACCCAAAACCCCAAGAAUUUUAAUGUAAGCUUAAAAUAUAAUCUAAAAAGGUACAGCUUUUUAGAUCAAGGAUACAACCUUACUUAGAGAGUAAACAUAAAUAAGACCAUAGUAGGCCUAAAAGCAGCCAUCAAUUAAGAAAGCGUUAAAGCUCAACAAUUCAAUCAACAUAAUACCAAAAGAACUCAAAACAACUCCUAACGUACUACUGGGUCAAUCUAUUCAAUUAUAGAAGAGACAAUGCUAAUAUGAGUAACAAGAAACCUUUUCUCCUUGCAUAAACUUAUAGCCGAAACGGAUAUCCACUGAUAGUUAACAACAAGAUAAAAUUAACUAACCAAUUAAUACACCUAUCAAACUAAUUGUUAAGCCAACACAGGAAUGCAGCCAAGGAAAGAUUAAAAGAAGUAAAAGGAACUCGGCAAACACAAACCCCGCCUGUUUACCAAAAACAUCACCUCCAGCAUUACUAGUAUUGGAGGCACUGCCUGCCCAGUGACGUAAGUUAAACGGCCGCGGUAUCCUGACCGUGCAAAGGUAGCAUAAUCAUUUGUUCUAUAAAUAAGGACUUGUAUGAAUGGCCACACGAGGGUUUAACUGUCUCUUACUUCCAAUCAGUGAAAUUGACCUUCCCGUGAAGAGGCGGGAAUAAAAUAAUAAGACGAGAAGACCCUAUGGAGCUUUAAUUAACUAACUCAACAGAGCAAAUCCAGUCAACCAACAGGGAAUAAAAAUUUCUACAAUGAGUUAGCAAUUUAGGUUGGGGUGACCUCGGAGAACAAAACAACCUCCGAGUGAUAUAAACUAAGACAAACCAGUCAAAGUGCCACAUCAUUAAUUGAUCCAAAAAUUUUUGAUCAACGGAACAAGUUACCCUAGGGAUAACAGCGCAAUCCUGUUUGAGAGUCCAUAUCGACAAUAGGGUUUACGACCUCGAUGUUGGAUCAGGACAUCCUAAUGGUGCAGCAGCUAUUAAGGGUUCGUUUGUUCAACGAUUAAAGUCCUACGUGAUCUGAGUUCAGACCGGAGUAAUCCAGGUCGGUUUCUAUCUAUUAACCAGUUCCUCCCAGUACGAAAGGACAAGAGAAACAAGGCCCACCUCAACACAGGCGCCUUAAGACUAAUAGAUGAUAUAAUCUCAAUCUAACCAGUCUAAUCCCCCAUGAGUCCAAGAAACAGGACUU
rnacentral:rRNA from 1 species